rnacentral:rRNA from 1 species
GCGAAAACUUUACAAUGCUGGCAACAGCGAUAAGGGAACCUCGAGUGCCAGGUUACAAAUCUGGCUGUCGAGAUGCCUAAAAAGCAUUUCAUAGCAAGGGCCGGGCAAGACCGGUGCCAGCCGCCGCGGUAACACCGGCGGCUCGAGUGGUAACCGUUAUUAUUGGGUCUAAAGGGUCUGUAGCCGGCCGGAUAAGUCUCUUGAGAAAUCUGGCAGCUUAACUGUCAGGCUUUCAGGAGAUACUGGCUGGCUCGAGGCCGGGAGAGGUGAGAGGUACUUCAGGGGUAGGGGUGAAAUCUUGUAAUCCUUGAAGGACCACCAGUGGCGAAGGCGUCUCACAAGAACAGAUCUGACGGCAAGGGACGAAAGAGAGGGGGACGAAUCGGAGUAGAUACUCCAGUGGUC